rnacentral:rRNA from 1 species
GGGGGAUAUUGCACAAUGGGGGAAACCCUGAUGCAGCGAUGCCGCGUGGAGGAAGAAGGUUUUCGGAUUGUAAACUCCUGUCGUAAGGGAAGAGAAAGGACUGUACCUUACAAGAAAGCUCCGGCUAACUACGUGCCAGCAGCCGCGGUAAUACGUAGGGAGCGAGCGUUGUCCGGAAUGACUGGGUGUAAAGGGAGCGUAGGCGGGAUGGCAAGUCAGAUGUGAAACCUGAGGGCUCAACCUUCAGACUGCAUUUGAAACUGCUGUUCUUGAGUGAAGUAGAGGUAAGCGGAAUUCCUGGUGUAGCGGUGAAAUGCGUAGAGAUCAGGAGGAACAUCGGUGGCGAAGGCGGCUUACUGGGCUUUUACUGACGCUGAGGCUCGAAAGCGUGGGGAGCAAACAGGAUUAGAUACCCUGGUAGUCCACGCUGUAAACGAUGAUUACUAGGUGUGGGGGGAUUGACCCCUUCCGUGCCGCAGUUAACACAAUAAGUAAUCCACCUGGGGAGUACGACCGCAAGGUUGAAACUCAAAGGAAUUGACGGGGGCCCGCACAAGCAGUGGAGUAUGUGGUUUAAUUCGAAGCAACGCGAAGAACCUUACCAGGUCUUGACAUCGAGUGACGUAUCCAGAGAUGGAUAUUUCCUUCGGGACACAAAGACAGGUGGUGCAUGGUUGUCGUCAGCUCGUGUCGUGAGAUGUUGGGUUAAGUCCCGCAACGAGCGCAACCCUUAUCAUUAGUUGCUACGCAAGAGCACUCUAAUGAGACUGCCGUUGACAAAACGGAGGAAGGUGGGGAUGACGUCAAAUCAUCAUGCCCCUUAUGACCUGGGCUACACACGUACUACAAUGGCGAUCGAACAGAGGGAAGCAAGACAGCGAUGUGGAGCCAAUCCCAAAAAAUCGCCCCAGUUCAGAUUGCAGGCUGCAACUCGCCUGCAUGAAGUCGGAAUUGCUAGUAAUCGCAGAUCAGCAUGCUGCGGUGAAUACGUUCCCG